CAUGGUCUAGCUUGCUAGACUGAUGGCGAGUGGCGGACGGGUGAGUAACGCGUAGGAAUAUGCCUUAAGAGGGGAUAACUUGGGGAAACUCAAGCUAAUACCGCAUAAGCUCCGAGGAGUAAAGCUGGGGACCUUCGGGCCUGGCGCUUUAAGAAUAGCCUGCGUACGAUUAGCUAGUUGGUGGGGUAAAGGCCUACCAAGGCGACGAUCGCUAGCUGGUCUGAGAAGAUGGCCAGCCACACUGGGACUGAGACACGGCCCAGACUCC
rnacentral:rRNA from 1 species